UGCAGGACUCUGUAGUUGGAUACCCCUGCAUUAGGUGAGCUUUUGAGCUGAGGAACAAAUAAGGAGAUGAAUAACUCUACAGUGAACUUCAUCACGUUUGGAGCAUCUACAAACUCCACAACUCUUUACUUUGGGCUAAUGAGAAUUCUGGACAUGUUUAACCUUCUGUUUGGUUUUCCUACACACUCCUACGUUAUAUGGCUCAUCGUCACAGGGACAGGAAGUAGAGUUGCAUCAGAGUUAUUUAUCCUCAAUCUCUCUGUUUGUGAGAUUGUUGUUCUGCUGUUUAGCUGUUCUCGGAGCUCUGAAGCAGUCAGGACCGGGAGAGAGAAAGCGAGAGCGAAAGAGAAGAGCAUUUUAUAUCAUUCUAAUAACUACUGUGAACAUGAUUGUUAUCUAUGUGCCAUUUGUUAUCUCAGGAUUGUUUUUCAUUCUGAGCCAAGAGUAUAUUCCGGAAAUGUUUAUUGUUGGAUUAUUUAGUUUUAUUUUGGCUGGUUUUGUUCAGCCGGUUCUUUAUCUGAACCGGACUGGAAAACUCUCCUGUCUUCACUUUCUAUAAAUCAUUAAGUUGUUUAGCUUUUAGAUCUUAC